UACGUAGGGUGCAAGCGUUGUCCGGAAUUAUUGGGCGUAAAGGGCUCGUAGGCGGUUUGUCGCGUCGGGAGUGAAAACUCAGGGCUUAACCCUGAGCCUGCUUCCGAUACGGGCAGACUAGAGGUAUGCAGGGGAGAAUGGAAUUCCUGGGUGUAGCGGUGAAAUGCGCAGAUAUCAGGAGGAACACCGGUGGCGAAGGCGGUUCUCUGGGCAUUACCUGACGCUGAGGAGCGAAAGUGUGGGGAGCGAACAGG
rnacentral:rRNA from 1 species